ensembl:lncRNA
GAAGCGGAAGCGGAGAGCGCGGCGUGAAGGUCACCCUGCUGAGAGUAAGUUUCUCCUUUAUAGUGUAACUCUGUGAUGUGCCGUCCCUCUAACCCCAUCCUUUGGGUGUGGGGGUCACGACGGCCCUAAAAUCCCAGCACCCGGCCCUCCGUCCCAAGUUAGUCAAUACGUCGCCGUUAUAGGUCGGGUUUGUUUUCCUUAGAGUUCGAAAUCGCUCUGUGCCUGAUCCUGGAGCCCCCGGCUUUUCUGCCUUCAGUACACGUAGACGCAGCCUUUGGCGGCGUUUUCCUGCUUAGAUUCCUUUCCUGCCUCCGCCCCGCCAUGUAAAGUGCUCUUCCCCGAGGAGGACCCGCGCCCCCACCUCGCUCCCCCAACUGGAGGCAGCGCCGGCCGCCCCGCUCCCGGAGAGGCCGCGUCCUCGCCCCGGUGCUGGGAUUCGGGAGCCCCCCUCUCCUGAGACCACCCUCCCUGCAGCCCCUCUGUCCUCGCGGCCCCUCCGGCCGGUCCUUCUGCCCCGCAGGCCUCACGUGUGUAGUCAGCCCUUCCCCGCACCCGGCGUAGGGGGAGGUGACCUCGUCCACCGUGUGACACCCAGCGUUCUUCCGUCUCAAAGUCCACCGGAUGAAAUAUGUUCUCUUCCGGUUGGCGGGCAUCUUAUUUAGUCUCCAUCCCUGUAAAUACUUGUGUGAGGGGCAUGAGGAGAGGCAGAGACAUGGGAAUGACAUUGUGGCGCAUCGGUGUCAGGACCCACAGCAGCGGUUCGCGUCGCUGCUGUGGUUCUGGUUCCAUCCCUGGCCAGGGAACUUCAACCUGCCGUGGGCGCCCCCCCCGCCCAAAAAAAAGAUGAGCCAAACACAGAAAACAAAUGAAAUACAGUAGGCCUUGAAAUUAGCAGGUGCGUGUACUCCAGAAGUAAUAAAAAGCCGGAUCUUCAGGGGUUGGAAAGCAACACUGGGAGAGUGUAGCAGUGCAGUGAUGGGAGGGGUGGCGGCUGUGUUGAGGCACUUAGCAGGGAGAGUGGCGGGGGUGGAGGGUAGUAAACAGUGGGAACUACAGGAAAUUCAGAGUCUCCUUGUUCUGGGAGAGAAACAGAUGACAACUUGUGACUAGCAGAGGAAGAGACAGAGCAGGAAGGAAGCAGAGCCACUUGGGGUGCCAGGGAGUUGGGGAGGGAGUGUAACAGGGACAGAAGGGGUGGGUGGUGUAACCCUGGGGACAGAGAGAGUGUAGAGUUGUGUGAAGGGGGCAGAACUAUAUGGAUAUUUAAGACAAUUAGAAAGGCUGGGGGAAGAACAAGUGGGGAGUCUACUUGCAGAGUAGGGCAGGAUGGAUGAGAGAUAAGAAACAGGAGGCCAGGGAGUUCUCCUCCUGGCUCAGCAGAAACGAAUCUGACUAGAAUCCAUGCCAGCGCAGGUUCGACCCCUGGCCUCCCUAGGUGGGUUAAGGAUCCGGCAUUGCCGUGAGCUGUGGUCUCUGUAGUCUGUGUAGGUCACAGACGUGGCUGGGAUCUGGUGUUGUUGCGGCUGUGGUGUAGACCAGCGGCUACAGCUCCAAUUCAACCUCCAUGUGCCUCGGAUGUGGCCCUAAAAAGACAAAAAAGAAAGAGAAGAAAUAGGAGGCCAGGAGUUUCCAUCGUGGCUCAGUGGUUAACAAACCCCUGACUAGGAUCCAUGAGGACAUGGAUUCCAUCCCUGGCCUUGCUCAGUGGGUUAAGGAUCUGACGUUGCCAUGAGCUGUGGUGUAGGUCACAGACGCGCCUCGGAUCCUGCGUUACUGUGUCUGGUGUAGGCUGGCAGCUACAGUUCUGAUUCCACCCCUAGCCUGGGACCCUCCAUAUGCCGCAGGUGCAGCC